UUUUCGGAUCUCGGCCCGGGAAGCGAGGGCAGCUGUGUGUUAAGGAGAAGAGGAAAACUAGAGAAAAAAACCCAGAGUGAAACCUGUGAAAAAGGAAAAAAGAGUCGGAGCACUUACCCAGUGGAGGUCCGGAGCCAAGUGGCUGAACGAAGGAGAGUUACGUCGGCUAACUGCUUGCCUGUCCUCCGGAGAGCUGCUACGAGGUUCGGCAUCGGCAUGCUCCACCUUGAUACACAGAGCAACGGUCAGGUUUUUUAGAGGACUGAGAGUCUGAGGUUCAGGACAACUUCCUGCUGUGAAAGAUGGCGAGCCAACUACCCUGAUUGAAGAUUAGCACCGAGGAGAUAUUCACGUACACACUCAUUCACACAAAUAAUACACUCACAUUACACUACAAGGAACCUUGGAAUCAGGUGAACUUUCAACAACUCCUUUUAUUUUAAGGGCCCCAACAGACAUUUUUGUUUUAAGUGUGCACACUACUUUUUUAUUUUUCUUACUGUUUGGUAUAAUAUUUUGCAUUUUGUACGAACCAGACAAAUUACUUUGUUCACUGUAAAAUAUAAGAGUGGCUACUCAAUUGUUA